rnacentral:lncRNA from 1 species
UGAAUUUACAAUGUAUACAUGCAAAUUACAAGUGUUUACUGCUCGCUUCCUUGAUAGUUGAUUUUGGAUAAAUAGUGCAUAAAUAGGCUUACAUAAUUUUAUAUCUGAAUUAAAUGUUAUUUUUUUUAUCAUUUUUGUUUAUUUUUUUUGUAGUAGGUAACUGACGGACGUGAGAUUAAAUGGGCCUUGAUCUCCAGUGAGUGGUUUUAUCUGGAUUUGAAUAUGCGCUGGGGUUACAAACCAAAGCCAAGUUGCUACAUUAACAUUUGGAAAAAUAUAGAGAAUGAAUUGAUAAAUGAUAUUUCCAGUAGUAAAAUCUGGAAAAAUGCUCCUUUAUCAUGAUUGCGCGGUUUUUUCAAUACACGUAGGUACCAGUAAAAAAAAAUCGAUGAUUUCUUAGAGCAAACAAAAAUAUACUGGUGUCUAAUUUUGCGUAUUACGAAACUUGCAGUUCAAGGGUCAUAGUUAAGAGAUAAAAGCACGAAUAAAUGUUAAUACACUAUCAAAAUAGUAUCCACCUCAACUGAACAUUCUGUAACGCAGGUUGUGUGAACUCGUUAUCCAUUCGUCAAAUUACGAUAACAACAUGGUUUUUAACCGCAGCAGCUUGCUCCUUCUUCUCCUGACAACCUUUGUAGCAACGGUUGUUUGUGAAUGCACUUCAGAGAAUAUUGAAAGUAAAAGUUUGGAUCAAAUGGUGAAACCGCCAAGAACGAUGUGAAUGCAUUCCUCAAGAAACUGCUGACAAGUUAUAAAGAUCUGGGCCUAGAGGCUAAAGUGAAGUUGGCUGCAAUCUCCAAAGCAAUGCAGGAGCAGAUGAAGCAAAUAGUGGAUAUCACUAAGCUUGAUACAAAAAAGAUCGACAAAGUCACGAACUUGCUUGGAUAACAUGCGUCAAAAACUAUGAGCAGACUUCACUUCGUAAAAAGGAAAUAUUAGUUCUGGUUUAUCGAUAAAAACACUUAUCUGUUCUGGAAAACUAAAGGCACAAAGCGAUGGCUGAGGAAUAAGACCACGUAACUGACGAUUUCGGCGAAAAUGAGUUAGUGACGGGGCCUCAUCCCAAGUAGCAAAAUAGAAUUUUUUUCUAGAAAAAAAAUAUUAAGAAAACUUCUAGAAAAUACCAAGAAAAUGAGAGUUAUCUAGAAAAUAGAAAGAAAAAACAUUGCAAGUCAAAAGUCUGACCAAAGAAAAUAGAUCUAUUUCAUAAGUCUACUUUCUGUCAACUUUCCGUUUGGAAAAAAGAUAGAAAAUUAAUUGAAAGUAGAAUUAUUUUCUAGCCAAUUUCUGAAUGUUUUCUUCUAAGAAAAUGUAAGGAAAAAAUGUAUUUUCUUUCUAUUUUCUUGCGUCUAUUUUCUAGAUCUACUUUAUACCUAUUUUCUUUCAAGAAAAUUGUUCUAUCUAGAAAGUAGACAUUUUCUUGAUGAGCGCCACCUAGAAAGUAGAUGACAAGGCUACUUGGGUAGGUAUAAAAUUGGCAAGCUGAUAUUUUUAUUUUUCCCUUUUGCUCCUGGGCGAUCGAUAAGUUGUUUUGAAAUGAGUCAGAGAUAGGUAUUAAUUC